rnacentral:rRNA from 1 species
GAUGAACGCUGGCGGCGUGCCUAAUACAUGCAAGUCGAGCGAACAGACGAGGAGCUUGCUCCUCUGACGUUAGCGGCGGACGGGUGAGUAACACGUGGAUAAACUACCUAUAAGACUGGGAUAACUUCGGGAAACCGGAGCUAAUACCGGAUAAUAUAUUGAACCGCAUGGUUCAAUAGUGAAAGACGGUUUUGCUGUCACUUAUAGAUGGAUCCGCGCCGCAUUAGCUAGUUGGUAAGGUAACGGCUUACCAAGGCAACGAUGCGUAGCCGACCUGAGAGGGUGAUCGCCCACACUGGAACUGAGACACGGUCCAGACUCCUACGGGAGGCAGCAGUAGGGAAUCUUCCGCAAUGGGCGAAAGCUUGACGGAGCAACGCCGCGUGAGUGAUGAAGGUCUUCGGAUCGUAAAACUCUGUUAUUAGGGAAGAACAAAUGUGUAAGUAACUAUGCACGUCUUGACGGUACCUAAUCAGAAAGCCACGGCUAACUACGUG